GUAAAAGUCGUAACAAGGUUUCGUCAAGAUCCUUCUUUGAAGCCUUCCACACACAACGACUCUAAUCAUGUGUGCAGUCUAGAAAUAGGCGACGUCACCCCUGUGCUGGAACGCUACCUAACGGUGGCGGAUCAGCAGCCGGGUCCCCCUGGUCCACAGAUUAGGUGGUGGCGGUCCCCGGGCGGCGUCCGCUGUGGGAUGAAGAUAUAAUCGGUCUCCGUCGCUGCCGAUGGUUGGGCAACGUUCCGUAGGUGAACCUGCGGAAGGAUCAUUA
rnacentral:rRNA from 1 species